rnacentral:rRNA from 1 species
AACGAACGCUGGCGGCAUGCCUAACACAUGCAAGUCGAACGAGACCUUCGGGUCUAGUGGCGCACGGGUGCGUAACGCGUGGGAACCUGCCCUUAGGUUCGGAAUAACUCCCCGAAAGGGGUGCUAAUACCGGAUAAUGUCUUCGGACCAAAGAUUUAUCGCCUUUGGAUGGGCCCGCGUUGGAUUAGCUAGUUGGUAGGGUAAAAGCCUACCAAGGCGACGAUCCAUAGCUGGUCUGAGAGGAUGAUCAGCCACACUGGAACUGAGACACGGCCCAGACUCCUACGGGAGGCAGCAGUGGGGAAUAUUGGACAAUGGACGAAAGCCUGAUCCAGCAAUGCCGCGUAAGUGAUGAAGGCCUUAGGGUUGUAAAUCUCUUUUACCCGGGAUGAUAAUGACAGUACCGGGAGAAUAAGCUCCGGCUAACUCCGUG